GUUAUAAUGUGCUGCAAGUUUAAGUGGAUAGAUGAAUGUAUUUGCAUACAUACACAAACACGGACGUGUUUUUAGCGGAAUGAGUUUCAUGCUGGAUUUAUUUCCUGUCUCUACUAUCUUCUCAAGAGGUAAUUUUGGCCAAAUCACUUACACAAUCUGAAACUCAGUUUUCAUCAUGCGUAAAGUGAGUGUGUAUUUUCAAGGGAGAGAGGGCCCUAGGUAAAAAUAGAGACCCUCUGAGGCAGCUUCAGGGCCCCUCCACAGGCUAUGUGUAAAGGAGAGAAAGUCAGUCCCUCUGCCCGGCAAGGCUCCCUGCAGUUUCCAGGGCGCAGCGCACGGAUGGCGGGGCUGGAGCGAGCAGGGGCAGCCACCAGGGAGGAAACGCAACGGCUCAUACAGCAAUAAGAGAAGCAGCAGGCCGAGGGGACCAGCCGGAAAAGCCCCGCGCCUGGUGCAGCUGUGGCCCUGGAAGGGGAAGCCUGCCGAUGGCAGCACGGCGCGGGGACAGUCUCGCGCCUGACAGAGCGGCUCAGGGAGCAGCGGCAGCCGCCAGCAAGCAUUGCAGGCGCGUGUAGGUCUAGAUGCGCCACAGACGCGACAAGGACCUGGGAAGGGAGCGCGGAGGAACAGCCGGUCCACCUGAUCACGUGACUGCAACUAUUCACACUCCACUCCGAGCAGCUCUGUCCUGGGAGAAGCGGGGUAUUCACAGCUUUGUCUUAGACGACAAAGCAGGACUGCAGGGUCGUGAGUGCCUUACUUGGAGCGCAGGUUCGCUUCCCGGCUGAGGAACCACACCACCUGUCUGUCCAUGCCAUGCUGUGGUGGCAGCUCACACAGAAGAACUAGAAGGACUGACAACUAGGACAUACAACCAUGCCCUGGGGCUCUGGGGAGAAGAAAAGAAAACGCUUCUUAAAAGAAGAGAGGAAUCCAGACAGCUGAAGCAGGGCUUGUGUGAGACAGAUGGGGAGAUUUAGAGGGAAGAGCUGGUCUGCUUGGUUCGACUCCCUCUCUGCAAGCAAAGAUUCUCUCCCCAGGACUGAAAGCAGAGACAAUGUGGCCACGGAGGAGAAUGCCCUUCUUCUUGGAGACGCGUGCCAAGGUGUUUAGGGAUGGAGUGUCAUGAAGUCUGCAAUCUAUUGAUAAACGGUUCAAAAAACAGCAACAGCCAAACCCCCAUAAAUAGAAAGAUACAGCAAAUGUCAUAAAAUGUUAAAGGGUGUAAGGAAACUCAUUGUACACCUCUUUUAACUUUCCUUUAGAUUUGAAAAUUUUUAAAAUAAAGUUGGGAGGAAAACAGGCACAA